GAGUAGCAUCGGAUACGUGUCUGCCGGUAGAUCCCCCGUUGUACUUCGGCCGACUACCGGCGCCGUGUCCCGUCACUCUUGUGGCAUUGUCCCGAUGGAUUGAACCCGUGGCUUGCGUGCUAGUACCCGACCUACGGGAAGUGGUGCUUCGUAUAAUUGUUGCCUCACGGUGGACGCCCUUUGGGUGUGCCAUUGUGACCGAAUAGCGCUUGCGGCGUUGCCUCGUACAACAACCAUAUAAUGUGCAUGUUGAUAUCACGGCAACCUCGCUCUCGCUUUUGGUCUAGGAUGCUGCUCACGAUAAAGGCUCGAGGCCCUUCGGGUUGCCUCGAUCCGAAACAAUGUUCUCUCUCCGAAAUGGCGAUAACCGGGUACAUGUCUUGCCUCUACCUCUCCACAGUUACGUGGUAGGAUACGCAACCCUAUGAUCCGGCCCUCAUGGAGGAGGAGGAGACAUGCUCUCUCCGAAAUGGCGAUAACCGGGUACAUGUCUUGCCUCUACCUCUCCACAGUUACGUGGUAGGAUAUGCAACCCUAUGAUCCGGCCCUCAUGGAGGAUGAGACAUGCUCUAUCCGAAAUGGCGAUAACCGGGUACAUGUCUUGCCUCUACCUCUCCACAGUUACGUGGUAGGAUAUGCAACCCUAUGAUCCGGCCCUCAUGAAGGAUGAGACAUGCCCGCUCAAAAGCGACAACUGGCUCGGCUGUUGCAUUUGUCUUUCCACGCAAGUGGAAUUGCAGGGUAACUACCGACGCUGGACGUCACCGAGGACGUGCU
rnacentral:misc_RNA from 1 species